GGAAAUGUGCCCGAAAGAUAAGGACCUCUUUGAUGGGGAGGUUAAUAGAGGUUCAAACCCUCUCAUUUCCU
rnacentral:tRNA from 1 species